rnacentral:rRNA from 1 species
UACGUAGUGUGCAAGCGUUAAUCGGAAUUACUGGGCGUAAAGCGUGCGCAGGCGGUGAUGUAAGACAGGUGUGAAAUCCCCGGGCUUAACCUGGGAACUGCAUUUGUGACUGCAUCGCUGGAGUGCGGCAGAGGGGGAUGGAAUUCCGCGUGUAGCAGUGAAAUGCGUAGAUAUGCGGAGGAACACCGAUGGCGAAGGCAAUCCCCUGGGCCUGCACUGACGCUCAUGCACGAAAGCGUGGGGAGCAAACAGG